AGCUGGGAGACCGUGGGCGGAGGUGAUACAACCUGACUGAUGAUGGCUGACAAAAGAAGAAGAAAGUAGCUGAGAACCAGCAGCUGAAGAAAGAAAUGCUGUCUCCUGCCAGGUGGGCUCCUCCUUCACCAACCGAUCGGAUUCAUUUCUAAAGGGUGGGAUCAUCUCCAUAGAUCUACUAGGGCGCAUUAGAAGACGUACUUCAAGAACCGACUUGUACAGUUGUCUUCCUGGACAAAUGGGGGAAGACUCCUGAAAGACUUGCUAGCAUCAGCUCUCCCCGCUUCUGGUGUGCCCAGCUGUUCACCAAAUACUCAAUAAAUGCUAAUGGGUGGGAAGACAAUCAGCUUUGCACACAAAGAAGCCCUGCACCCACCAGGAAGUGCCUCCCUUUCCUGGAGAGAGCUAUUCAGGCUGGUGGAGUCUGACCCUAGAAAUCAGCCAGGAGCUGGAAUGAGGUCAAAACGCGUUCCUUUAGCUUAAAAGAACGAUCGAUCGAGAGAGUGUAGGACCAAGAGUCAAGAGUGGAUCAAAUGCGCAUGCUUGGGGAUUCUCUGAGCUUUUCCUCCCCGUGGCUAAAUUCUGACAGUACAUACAACUUUCUUCAGAACUGUAUUCUUAGGGAGCACUUGAAGAGGUUAAACUUCAGUGAACUUCCCACCCCUACCUCUGCCUCCUCCUGUCUUUUUCCUGAUUUAGUAGACAUCACUUGCACUAAGUGUAGGGAUGUUCAAGUGGUCACUAGAAAAUUCUUCCAUACCCAAAUACCUGCUGGAAAAAAUACCACACCACUGUAGUCACAGUGUAUCCAACUGGGCGUCAUAACUGCGACUCCAAUGCAGCAAUUGUUCCUCUAAAUAUUUUCUUAAGUGUAUAUAAGUAACAAAUAUACUUUUUAAUGACUGCAGGUUUUGAUCAUCGUCAAAUGACUGAGUUUCACAGCAUGGCUACCACACACCUUCUUUAUGGAAAUAACUAAGUAUUUCUAAAUGGCUUCCAUUAACAUAUAGAAAAAAAUGUUAAUUCUUUUAAAUGGCUGGUGGGGGAUGCUAUACAUACUGUCAGAAUUGAGCUUUUCCUAACAAUUCUCUAAGCACGUUAUGUUUGAAAAUGCAAUGUGUAUACAGCAGAAACUGUAUUAAGACCUAACAGGCUUUUAUAAGUUUGUCCUUCAUAAACAAUUUUAGUUUCUAAAAUAUGA
rnacentral:lncRNA from 1 species